UACGUAGGUCCCGAGCGUUGUCCGGAUUUAUUGGGCGUAAAGCGAGCGCAGGUGGUUUAAUAAGUCUGAUGUAAAAGGCAGUGGCUCAACCAUUGUGUGCAUUGGAAACUGUUAGACUUGAGUACAGUAGAGGAGAGUGGAAUUCCAUGUGUAGCGGUGAAAUGCGUAGAUAUAUGGAGGAACACCGGUGGCGAAAGCGGCUCUCUGGACUGUAACUGACACUGAGGCUCGAAAGCGUGGGUAGCAAACAGG
rnacentral:rRNA from 1 species